rnacentral:snRNA from 1 species
AGCUUUGUGCAGUGGCAGUAUCAUAGCCAAUGAGGUUUAUCCAAGGCACAAUUAUUGCUAACUGAAAAGCUAC